UUGAUUUCUCGGCUUCCCGAAGUAGGUCCUGGAAGGACGCUGGAGCACUUACUCGCUUAGAUUUCAGUCAGUCUCUUCAGUGAGGUAGCAACGCUUCUUCCGUUCUGCUGCCUCGUUGCAUGAGGCGCUGGACCGGUCGACACUUGUCGCUCUUACACGAAGGAAAUCGAGAAAUCAACUUGAGGCGGGAGAAGAACCAAUCAGGCCACCCAGUGGUCUCCUGCUUUGCCUAGCCCGCGGGAAGAGCGCGGUGUCCCGACUCCGCCGGCCUCCUACAGGACGACUUUAGGUGACCCCUCCUCCCGGCUGGUGGGGAUUCCCUGAAACAAGGAACAGGGACACCAGAGGCAUCGUUAUCCGGCGUGAGGCUUCCAAAGAUGAACCAGAGCUUCUGGUCUCGCAGAAAGGCGGAAGAGAAUCCCGACUUCUGACUUGGGAUAGCUGGAGACAAGCAUAACCACUCCCAAGUUUCUGAAGAAGCUGAACACCAAGAGCACGCUCACUAAAUAAAGUAUAUUCAGCCUUGCCUUCCUUUUUCU